rnacentral:sRNA from 1 species
AAUCUGUUGGGGACAAAUAAAAUGAAUAUGCGAAUCAUACCCUCCGGCACUUAAAAUCAUUCCCUCUCCCGCAAUCACUUCGGUACCGGCACCCACAACCAUGUGGGGAUCGAUUCCAUCUUGAAUCAAAGGAUUCCCACCAUGCCCGACACCGGCUAUUCUCCCCUCUUUUAUUCCUACAUCCGCUUUGAUUACACCCAGGAAUGGAUCAAGAAUCGUGGCGUUUGUAAUGAUCAGAUCCAGGCAUUCCCGAUCGAGUGCCCGGGGAGACUGCCCCAUUCCAUCACG